rnacentral:rRNA from 1 species
UACGGGGGGGGCAAGCGUUGUUCGGAAUUACUGGGCGUAAAGGGCUCGUAGGUGGCCAACUAAGUCGGACGUGAAAUCCCCGGGCUCAACCUGGGAACUGCAUUUGUGACUGCAUCGCUGGAGUGCGGCAGAGGGGGAUGGAAUUCCGCGUGUAGCAGUGAAAUGCGUAGAUAUGCGGAGGAACACCGAUGGCGAGGGCAAUCCCCUGGGCCUGCACUGACGCUCAUGCACGAAAGCGUGGGGAGCAAACAGG